rnacentral:rRNA from 1 species
UACGGAGGGUGCAAGCGUUGUCCGGAUUUAUUGGGUUUAAAGGGUGCGUAGGUGGCCCGUUAAGUCCGGGCUGAAAGCCCACAGCUCAACUGUGGAACUGCCCUGGAUACUGGCGGGCUUGAGAGUCGUCGAGGGUGGCGGAAUGGACGGUGUAGCGGUGAAAUGCAUAGAUACCGUCCAGAACCCCAAUUGCGUAGGCAGCUGCCUAGGCGACAUCUGACACUGAGGCACGAAAGCGUGGGGAGCGAACAGG